rnacentral:rRNA from 1 species
AGAUUGAACGCUGGCGGCAUGCCUUACACAUGCAAGUCGAACGGCAGCACGGGGGCAACCCUGGUGGCGAGUGGCGAACGGGUGAGUAAUGCAUCGGAACGUGCCCAGUAGUGGGGGAUAACUAGUCGAAAGAUUAGCUAAUACCGCAUACGACCUAAGGGUGAAAGCGGGGGAUUCGCAAGAGCCUCGCGCUAUCGGAGCGGCCGAUGUCUGAUUAGCUAGUUGGCGGGUAAAAGCCCACAAGGCUUCGAUCAGUAGCUGGUCUGAGAGGACGACCAGCCACACUGGGACUGAGACACGGCCCAGACUCUACGGAGGCAGCAGUGGGAAUUUGGACAAUGGCGCAAGCCUGAUCCAGCCAUGCCGCGUGCGGAAGAAGCCUUGGUGUAACGCGUUUGCGAGGAACGAACGGCGAGAGACGAAUA